GAUGAACGCUAGCGGCAGGCUUAACACAUGCAAGUCGAACGGCAGCACAGGUAGCAAUACUGGGUGGCGAGUGGCGCACGGGUGCGUAACGCGUAUGCAACCUACCUCUAUCUGGGAGAUAGCCCGAAGAAAUUCGGAUUAAUACCCCAUAAUAUAUGUCUUUCGCAUGUUAGACAUAUUAAAGCUUUGGCGGAUAGAGAUGGGCAUGCGUGACAUUAGCUAGUUGGUAAGGUAACGGCUUACCAAGGCUACGAUGUCUAGGGGUCUGAGAGGAGUUAUCCCCCACACUGGUACCUGAGACACGGACCAGACUCCUACGGGAGGCAGCAGUGGAGGAAUAUUGGACAAUGGGCGAAAGCCUGAUCCAGCCAUGCCGCGUAGCAGGAAGACGGCCCUAUGGGUUGUAAACU
rnacentral:rRNA from 1 species